rnacentral:rRNA from 1 species
GAUGAACGCUGGCGGCAUGCCUAAGACAUGCAAGUCGAACGAGAGGGCCCAAGGAGAGAGAAAGAAAUGGAAAGUGCUUGCACUGGAAAUGGAAAGCUUUCGAAUUGGAAUUUCCCUCGAGUGGCAAACGGGUGAGUAACACGUGGGUUACCUACCUCUAUGAUGGGGAUAACAGUUGGAAACGAUUGCUAAUACCGAAUGUGCUCUACGGAGUAAAGAAGCCCUUAAAGCUUCGCAUAGAGAUGGGCCUGCGGUGCAUUAGCUAGUUGUGGGUAAUGGCCUACCAAGGCAGCGAUGCAUAGCCGAGCUGAGAGGUUGAUCGGCCACACUGGGACUGAGCACGGCCCAGACUCCUACGGGAGACAGCAGUUAGGAAUAUUCGUCAAUGGGGAAACCCUGAACGAGCAAUGCCGCGUGUAGCGAAGAAGGCCCUAUGGGUUG